CUACGGGUGGCUGCAGUGAGGAAUAUUGCACAAUGGGGGGAACCCUAAUGCAGCAACGCCGCGUGGAGGAUGACGCAUUUCGGUGUGUAAACUCCUUUUAUAUGUCAAGAAAAUGACGGUAGCAUAUGAAUAAGCACCGGCUAACUCCGUGCCAGCAGCCGCGGUAAUACGGAGGGUGCAAGCGUUACUCGGAAUCACUGGGCGUAAAGGACGCGUAGGCGGGUUGGAAAGUCAGGCGUGAAAUCCUACAGCUUAACUGUAGAACUGCACUUGAAACUUCUAAUCUAGAGUAUGGGAGGGGGAGAUGGAAUUAGUGGUGUAGGGGUAAAAUCCGUAGAUAUCACUAGGAAUACCUAAAGCGAAGGCGAUCUCCUGGAACAUUACUGACGCUAAGGCGUGAAAGCGAGGGGAGCAAACAGGAUUAGAUACCCGAGUAGUC
rnacentral:rRNA from 1 species